AGUGAACGCUGGCGGUAGGCCUAACACAUGCAAGUCGAACGGCAGCACAGGAGAGCUUGCUCUCUGGGUGGCGAGUGGCGGACGGGUGAGGAAUACAUCGGAAUCUACCUUUUCGUGGGGGAUAACGUAGGGAAACUUACGCUAAUACCGCAUAAGACCUUCGGGUGAAAGCAGGGGACCUUCGGGCCUUGCGCGGAUAGAUGAGCCGAUGUCGGAUUAGCUUGUUGGCGGGGUAAAAGCCCACCAAGGCGACGAUCCGUAGCUGGUCUGAGAGGAUGAUCAGCCACACUGGAACUGAGACACGGUCCAGACUCCUACGGGAGGCAGCAGUAGGGAAUAUUGCGCAAUGGGGGGAACCCUGACGCAGCAACGCCACGUGUGGGAAGAAGCAUUUCGGUGUGUAAACCACUGUCGGAAAGGAAUAACGGAAGACUUCGGUCUUUAUGAAUGUACUUUUGGAGGAAGCACCGGCAAACUUCGUGCCAGCAGCCGCGGUAAUCAUACUACG
rnacentral:rRNA from 1 species